GGCUUUGUACAAUGGCAGUAUUGCAGUCAAUGAGGUUUAUCCAAGGCGCGAUUAUUGCUAAUUGACAACUUUAGGUGAAAUACAAAUGCUCACUGAUUUAGCCUUUGGAAAAAGACAUAGCUU
rnacentral:snRNA from 1 species